GACGAACGCUGGCGGCGUGCCUAAUACAUGCAAGUUGAACGCUUGAUUUUCACCGAAGCUUGCUUCACCGAAAAUCAAGAGUAGCGAACGGGUGAGUAACGCGUGGGUAACCUACCUAUCAGCGGGGGAUAACUAUUGGAAACGAUAGCUAAUACCGCAUAACAAUGUUGAAUGCAUAUUCGACAUUUGAAAGUACCAACUGGUACACUGAGAGAUGGACCCGCGUUGUAUUAGCUAGUUGGUAGUGUAAUGGACUACCAAGGCGAUGAUACAUAGCCGACCUGAGAGGGUGAUCGGCCACAUUGGGACUGAGACAACGGCCCAAACUCCUACGGGAGGCAGCAGUAGGGAAUCUUCGGCAAUAGGACGAAAGUCUGACCGAGCAACGCCGCGUGAGUGAAGAAGGUUUUCGGAUCGUAAAACUCUGUUGUUAGAGAAGAACGUUGCAUAGAGUGGAAAAUUAUAGCAAGUGACGGGUAUACUAACCAGAAAGGGACGGCUAACUACGU
rnacentral:rRNA from 1 species